ensembl:lncRNA novel transcript
UAAGCAAGGCUGGAUUCCAGAGCUUAAAUUAUCCUCUGGUUCUUGCAAAGAUUGACAUCAACUACUUUGGGUUACUUGGUCCUUGCCUUUAGCCAAAGGAGAGAAAUAGCUUCCUGAGUAGCUCUGGUUGGUCCAGCUCGGACCUUGCCUUUCCUUCCCUGAGCCAGUCUCUGGAACCAAAGGAAUAAUGCACUCUGACUGGACAGUCUGCAUCUGAUAGAGACAAAACAAGGCCACCUAGGGAAGAGGCAGUUCCAGACUGGGGAAGAUUCUGGGAAAAAAAAAAGAUAUCUACAAUACUAUGUGUAUAAACUCACCCACAAAAAUCCUAGUAGCACUAACACUGUCUUAAUUUCUCCAUUAGGAAUCAGAAAAACCUUUAAUGAAGAGUGACGGAGAGAAUGGCCUGUGAUUGGAUUGUGAGCCUGUUUCUGCCACCAGGCAGCCCCUCUGCAGGCAUCUCCCUCCCACCUGACCCGUGGUCUGUGCGAGUGCAAGUUAAAAGGGUCAUUUCCUUGCCUCAGAGCUGAUCUCAGCCUUAGAUACUUUCCAGUUUCUCUGCUACCUGUCAUUCAGUCUUUUGAAGUACAGCAUUAAUUUUAACUGUGAUUUCAUUGCAAAAACAAAUUUGCCAAUGGAAUGCUAUUCGUGUCAUUUAUUUCCCCAGAUCUUCCUAUGAGCUCAUCUCUCUCAUUCAAUUGUCUCUACUCCAAUGUCACUUCCUUGGCUGAAGGAAAAAUCAGUCCUCAUUCCACACACUGCAACCUUGCCUUAGUUGAUUUACAGCACAUAUCGUAUCAUAACCUGACCACAACUACCUCUUGCUUAACUGUUUAUUUUUUCGCUCUCCUCCCAGAAUAUAUCCUAAGACAAAGAAUUGCAUAUUGGCAUCGUAGUUUCCAAUCUAAGCACAUGCGCAAGGGAACUCAGUCUUCCUAGAAAAUCUCCAUAAUAAUAUCAUCAUCCCUGGAUACGGAAACGAAGGCUGAAAGAGAGAAGAGGACGUGGUUUCCUGAUAGCAGAGUUCAGGGUGGAAACUCCAGAUCCAGCUUUCUGCCUGUGACGAUUCUGGUGGAUGUGAGCCUUGGGUGCUGCCUCUGACACCUGCUGUGCACGGCAGCCAGAGACCGCGUCCAGAAUGCAGGCAGUUUGUCUCCCACAACGUGACAGGUGGUGCCGGCCUAAGCUAUGAUCCGCUAACAAAAUAGGGCUAUGAGCCCUCUGCCUUUCAGAGCAGGCGGGGAACAUUCCUGCAAUGCUAUGGGUUGGGUGUGUGAGUUUUUUCUUGAAGAACGUAAUUAGAAAGGGGGGUUCUAUGUGUCAUGUAUAAAAUACCGAUGGGCCAGCCACAGAGAACGCUGUAGGCUUUGACAGACAAGACAGGGUGUCUUUACCAGCAAAUGGACACCAUGCCACAUCAUCCUUAAUGAAAUACGUGCACUUUAGUGAGACAAAAAUGCAUCCGUAGCUCUGCCUGCCUCCUCACGAUCCUUCUCCAGCUAUAAGGACAUCAAAUAAACCAUUUAGACAGAGGGCCCUUUAAUGAGUUUCUCAGCGGCAGUGAAUCAAGUCAGAAAGGUAAUUCAACCCUCACUCCCAAGGUACAAGGGAAGGCAAGAAAAACUGUUUCUUUAGAUUCCAUUCUGUCCACAGAACCAUUCAUCAAUUUCCUUCGAGAGUCUGAAUCAAUCCCAGCAGGACCGCUUGCCAAAAAGAACGCUCUGUGGAGACACAAGCCCCAGCUUGUGUUUGCUCUCUGGGUCUCUUCCCUCCUCUUUCUUCCUCCGGGUGGCAGGAGGGCACCGUGGCAACACAGGAGGCAUGACCUACAACAGGCCCCCGAGCUCCUGGGGCCCCUGCAUGCCCUGUCGUAGGUUUCUGAGUACUCAUUCUCAUGGGCUGCUUGCCCAUUAGCUGAUGUCACUUAAAUAACUGCUUUGCCAGAGCUGGCUUGUGUAGGACUCAUCUGAGGUCCUUACCAACAGAAGGAAUAAGGAAUUCACAUGGAAAGUUGGCCUCACCCUGCUCUUCCCUCAUCAAUGGAAUAAUCUGAAAUGUGCAGAUUACCAAUGCUUCCAGAGGCACCGAACUCAAUGGUUUGGCUUGGCUUUGUGCUUCAGUCCACACAGAUGGCAGGAGCAACUUAGAGGUGGGAGAGAUACUUAGAGAGCAGCGACUCAAAUAUUUUCAUUUGAUUGCUUUAAAAAAAUGAGGCUUUGAGAGGUGAAGUAUUAACCUCUUGCCCACCAUUAUACCACUGCAGAGAAAAAUCAAUUCACCUGAAGUCAGGGCUCUGUCCAAAAGAGGACCCACAGUUUCUGAGUCCCUCACUGGUUUGAGCAUGUGUCUUUUACCACAUGGAGAUUUUUAGACAUUGUGUGCUUUGUAGGGUUUACUCAUUUUAAUUAAAAAAAAAAACAAAAAACCCUUUCAUGUUGUGCAGCUCAUCGUCGAAAUGCUAGGCAACACGCCGAAUGUUUUAUUACAAACCAGCAUUCCCUGCAGAAAAGUCUUAUUUUGAUUAAUCUUCAGCACUUACAGCUCCUUUCUGCCAAUCAAAGUUUCCAUCACGCACAGGGUGCUGUUGUAGAGACCAAGUUGACAUGUUGAGGCAGCCCAGAACAACUUUAGAGAGGAGAGGGAGGACUUUUCCUGUCUCUUUUGAUAAGGGAAAUAGUAUGUUUUAAAGACACCUUUGUGGAAUCCUUCUUCCCUUAGAGUAGAUUGAAAGACUCUCACUUUAAAAUAGCCACCCCAGUGGAGUAAAAAAGAUGCUGAGUUCUCGUUCUCAUGAAUAUACUGCUGAUUAGAAGAACAAGAUGUUGACAAACCCAGCCCAGAUAGGUCUAUAAAGCUUGAAAGAAUUUACUGAAUAGGCUGGGCGUGGGGGCUCAAGCCUGUAAUCCCAGCACUUUGGGAGGCUGAGGCAGGUGGAUCACGAGGCCAGGAGUUUGAGACCAGCCUGGCCAACAUGGCAAAACCCUGUCUCUACUAAAAACACAAAAAUUAGCUGGACCUGGUGGUGUACGCCUGUAAUCCCAGCUACUUGGGAGGCUGAGGCAGGAGAAUUGCUUGAACCUGGGAGGCGGAGGUUGCAGUGAGCCA